rnacentral:rRNA from 2 species
UGCGGAAGGAUCAUCA